AGAAACCUGAAAAUCAGAGAAUCAUUUUCUCACUGUGUGAUUCAGGGCUUAGAGGUUGACUGUCUCUCUGUAUGACCCAAAAUCAGCCUUCAAAGUAGUCCUGAUGCAGAAACAGCUCCUUCCCAGCUAUGAGUCACCUGGGCACAGAGGUUAGAGGAAUCUACAAGGAACUCGCCCGAGGAACGUGGAAAGACAGUGGUUCUUCUCUCUCAUACUUCCUUUUCCUGAAGCAAGGAGGACUUGAAUGUUGCCUUGAGAUCUUCUGGACAACUCAGAGGAGUGACAUCGUGGCCAAAGCCCAGAUGCUUUGCACUCUUGUCCCAUGUCUGACUGGCUUCUGAUCUUAGACAUCACUUCUCGUGGUUCUGUCUGUCUCCUCCACCCUCCUUCUCCCCAUCCCAUCUUCCUCUCUUCCUCUUCUCUCCUACUUUAUGUGUACACACAUGUUCUGAGACCUGAAUUCAGAGCUGCAUGGAUUCAA